AAACUAAAUGGCUGCAGUAACUAUGACUGUAUGAAUGUAGCAUAAUAACUCGCCACUUAAUUGGUGGAUAGUAUGAAUGGUUAAACGAAAAUUCCUCUGUCUUAUAAAAUAAAAAAGAAAUUUAAAUUGUAGUUAAGAGCUACAUAAAAUUGUAAGACGAAAAGACCCUAUAAAGCUUAACUAUAAUCUUUCUCAUCUUUUAAAAUAAAAAAUCAAAAGAAAGAUUGGUAGUUUCAUUGGGGCGAUGGUCUCUAAAAAAAAACAGAGAUAAUCUACAUUAAUAAAAUAAUUUAUUAUUUAAUUAAUCAAUUUAAUAAUUACAAAGUAAGAUAUAAUGACCCAUUAUAAUCUCAAAAAAGAAAUAAUGAUCUUUAAAUAAAAGCUACUUUAGGGAUAACAGGAUUAUCUUUUCUAAGAGCCCUAAUCAAAGAAAAGGUUUAUCACCUCGAUGUUGAAUUAAGAUAACCUAAUGGUGCAGC
rnacentral:rRNA from 1 species